UACAGAGGGGGCAAGCGUUAUUCGGAAUUAUUGGGCGUAAAGGGCGCGUAGGCGGCUUGGCAAGUGGAAGGUGAAAUCCCUCGGCUUAACCGGGGAACUGCGUCUGAUACUGGAUGGCUUGAGAUUGGGAGAGGGAUGCGGAAUUCCAGGUGUAGCGGUGAAAUGCGUAGAUAUCUGGAGGAACACCGGUGGCGAAGGCGGCAUCCUGGACCAACACUGACACUGAGGAGCGAAAGCCAGGGGAGCAAACGGG
rnacentral:rRNA from 1 species